rnacentral:rRNA from 1 species
AAGUCGAGGGGCAGCGGGAUUGAAGCUUGCUUCAAUUGCCGGCGACCGGCGGAAGGGUGCGUAACGCGUGAGCGACAUGCCCGUUGCCCGGGGACAACCGGUGGAAACGCCGACUAAUCCCCGAUGGGAUAUUGUGCCGCAUGGCACGAUAUUGAAAGUUACGGCGGCGACGGAUUGGCUCGCGUCCGAUUAGCUGGUUGGCGGGGUAACGGCCCACCAAGGCUACGAUCGGUAGGGGUUCUGAGAGGAAGGUCCCCACAAUGGAACUGAGACACGGUCCAUACUCC